AAGUAGGAGGGGAGAUUCUCACCAUGAGGUAGAGAAUCUUGGAAUGGGAGACUAUGAUGGGGACUAUUCUUUUAGAAGACAUAGGAGGGAAACUCAAGAACCUCCUCCCCCUAGAGAAGUCAAUAUUAACUUGCCUCAUUUCCAUGGAAAGGAUGAUGUAGAGGCCUUCUUAGAUUGGCAAAUGAAGGUGGAGCAACUUUU
rnacentral:lncRNA from 1 species